CUGCAUCAGCAGCAAGACUACCUGCACUACUGCAGUAAGAGUAACAUCUCUUCCGUGACUAAACAUAUCAGCAGUUAGCAUGAUGAUCUCAGGAAAAAACAGGAGAAGUUAGAGUGCCUUCAGAGUCUUUUUCUUGGCUGCACAGCGAGCAGAGGCAUGG